CGCGACGCACGAUUGCUGCUGCCUGCGGCGAUCACACACGCAUCUAAACCUGUGCAAUUUCACCGACCCCUGCGAUUACAGGAAGACAGUUACUGCACGUGGCUGAGCUUGCCAAGGUAGAGCUGGCCUGAGUGGAGCGUUACCAGCGCUUGCACGUGACGAUUCAGACAUAACGUCUGGCCUUCUGUAAAUGACAGCAGAGGUUUCCAUCUGCAACUGAAGAGAUGCUCACAUACGAGCCGUCAGAAAAACGAGCUUUAUGUUGAUAGCUGGUAAUAGUUUCAAAUACGUCGUAGGCUAAUUUGAAAACCGAACCUGAUAAUUCCUCAGCACAACUGCUUGUUGCUAAGGCAAUGGAAGAUUGGGUCGCAGCGGUUACCAGUUAGGUAUUUUCUUCCUCCAGUAACAUUCCUGCCACUAAAAAUGCAUUGUUCAGCUCUGACGUCUCAGCCUACAGCCCUUUAAAGUUUGAGUUAUCACUAAUGGUCAGGUAACAUUAAUUGUUAGGCCCAAGUGGACUGCGAAACUACGUGUUUUAAAUGCCACUGUCAGAGAUCAAUCACAUUGGGCAAAAGAUGCUUCAUCACUAGUAAGAAAGCUGAUCUAAUGGAUGUUUGCCCGAUUUUCUAAAUCCGCUGGUGUUUUACAAUUUAACUGCAGUCUAAGGGACAAGCUAUAUUCAGUUAGAUGCUGCCCGUAUUUUGACAACAGUCUUCCACCCCAAAUUCUUCCUUAGUUUGGAGCAAACGUCACAUUUCUGUUUAUUAUUUCAGGGAAGAGGAUGGUUGAGAGGCUAAGGAUCUAUUCAUCUUGUUUAACCAAUGAUUUUUCUCACCAUUACAACUGAAUAGUAAAGCAAAUGUAAACUCUGUCAGUUCUUGGGGAGAAAAAGGUGCACUUCAGACUUGUCUUAGUAGUAUAGAAUAAUACUCGGUUUUGGUAACUUGAAGUAAGUGGUGGCACUGAAAAAUUUGUAUAGCAGCAGCACCCCUAAGAAACACACACCACAGGUGAUUUGGUGCUACAGUUAUUCUGAAGAUACGAAAUUACUCUCUGGUGCUAUUUGCAGUGACUUCUCAGUUGCACUAGAGAUUAAUCAUUUGUACUAGGUUUGGAUAAGCAGAUUCUGAAGAGAAAAAAAAAAAAAUCCACACUAGGAGGGAAAUGAAAUGAGGCUUCCUCCUGUUUGGUGUGGAGUUUUAAUGACGUAUGCCAAAAGUCUCUUUGAGUUUUCAGGGGAAUUCUGAAAUUCAUAGAGGGUAACUAUAGGCAUGUAAUUACCCCAUUUCUGCAUAUGUAGUGGAAUUCAUUUCACUGACGUCUUUGACAACGGACCUGGGCUCCCCUCACAGUCAACGGAGACGUUUUUAGGGCAAGACCUAUUUAUACUAAGAUUCUCUCUCAUUCGACAUACUUGGCUGAAUGACUCCCACCUUUAUUUCCCAAGGUGGAAAGGAAAAUUAACAUAUGGGAGAGGAUUAUGAAUGUCUUAAACCUUCAACUACUGAAACUUCCUGCAGGUGCGCUGCCUGCCCUCAUUUCACAAUCUCAAUUACAAAGGUGCGAUUGUGUAUGUUCGUUCCUCAUAAGAGGAAGAAAUGAGAACGUGUUUCUCACAUGACGUAUGCCGAGUACCAGAGUCACAGACGCGCAGGAUGCAUCUUAACGUGUAGCUCAGGUAAAUCAAGUCUAAUAUUUAAGUAAAAACACAAGCAACGACGUUUGCAAUUACAGGGAAGUAUCUUUUCUGGAUGACCUGAUGUUAGCAAAGUUUUCGGUAAUAGCUUACCCGGACAAACAUGCUACUACCUCUGUAGCUCUGGCAAGGAUAGCCUCUUCCUGGAGUAUUGUCUAUACAAAGGUCAGGUAUGGCCUUUCUGUAUGACCUUUCUAUGGCCUAUAGCUUUCUUCAACUGACUUUUUAAAAAGCCCAUCUGGCUUGUACUCAUUCUUUCUUUUUUCUUUUUUUGGUAUCUUGGAGAAUUCUUCAUCCUCUUCAUCCCACAGAAACCAGGGAAGCAUACCUGCCAAGAAAUACAUACCCUCAAAAAUUUGUUUGUUCCAUUUGGUUAAAAGCAGCACCCUGUUAUCAUCCUUUGAGCAUUUCUCCUAAACGCUAAGUAGGUCUUUCAAAAUUACAGCCCCUUAUGGACUUGUCCUCGUCAAUAAUGCUGCUUUUCAUUAUUUUUUUCCACAGGCUGAAGCUCUUCCUGGGCUAUUGUCGUGGUUUACCGCCAGCCGGCAACUCAGCACCACAUAGCCACUUGCUCACUCCCCCCUGGUGGGAUGGGAGAGAGAAU